GAUGAACGCUGGCGGCGCGCUUAACACAUGCAAGUCGAACGAGAAAUUUCACUUUGAUCCUUCGGGUGAAAAGUGAAAUGGAAAGUGGCGGACGGGUGAGUAACGCGUGGGUAACCUACCUUGUACAGGGGGAUAACAAUCUGAAAAGAUUGCUAAUACCGCAUAAGACUACAGUAUCGCAUGAUGAAGUAGUAAAAGCUCCGACGGUACAAGAUGGACCCGCGUCUGAUUAGCUAGUAGGUAAGGUAAUGGCUUACCUAGGCGACGAUCAGUAGCCGGCCUGAGAGGGUGAACGGCCACAUUGGAACUGAGACACGGUCCAAACUCCUACGGGAGGCAGCAGUGGGGAAUAUUGCACAAUGGGGGAAACCCUGAUGCAGCGACGCCGCGUGAAGGAAGAAGGGUUUUCGGAUCGUAAACUUCUAUCAGCAGGGAAGAAUAAAUGACAGUACCUGACUAAGAAGCCCCCGGCUAACUACGUG
rnacentral:rRNA from 1 species